rnacentral:lncRNA from 1 species
GUUGACACACAUAAUCUUUAAGAUAGGAAGGAGGAUUAUGGUGUCUGUUAGACUUUCUGGGAACUGGGACAGAGGGAGGAGGACCCAAACCAGGAAGGAUAACAGCAGGACUGAGUGGGGCAGAAGAAGGCAUCUGGACAGGUGGGUCAGAAGAGGGAGGAGAUUGUGGAAUGGGAGAAUCAGAGAAAUCAUCAUGUUCUCCAGAAGGAAGAAAGGGAAAAGUAGAAGCAGAGGGAGGAGCGAAGAGAGAGGCAUGUUUAAAGGGAAAGACUGAUUCAUGAAAUAGAACAUCCUUGGAG